rnacentral:rRNA from 1 species
GACGAACGCUGGCGGCGUGCUUAACACAUGCAAGUCGAACGGAAAGGCCCUUCGGGGUACUCGAGUGGCGAACGGGCGAGUAACACGUGGGUGAUCUGCCCUGCACUUUGGGAUAAGCCUGGGAAACUGGGUCUAAUACCGAAUAGGACCACGCGCUUCAUGGUGUGUGGUGGAAAGCUUUUGCGGUGUGGGAUGGGCCCGCGGCCUAUCAGCUUGUUGGUGGGGUAAUGGCCUACCAAGGCGACGACGGGUAGCCGGCCUGAGAGGGUGACCGGCCACACUGGGACUGAGAUACGGCCCAGACUCCUACGGGAGGCAGCAGUGGGGAAUAUUGCACAAUGGGCGCAAGCCUGAUGCAGCGACGCCGCGUGAGGGAUGACGGCCUUCGGGUUGUAAACCUCUUUCAAUAGGGACGAAGCGCAAGUGACGGUACCUAUAGAAGAAGCACCGGCCAACUACGU